rnacentral:lncRNA from 1 species
CCUUACACCUUUCCUAUCUACUGGAUACAGACUUACUGAACCAAACGGGGGUCAUAGACAAUCAGCGUCAAUAAGACACAAAAAGGCUACUCACCGCAAUGGUUUUGCUGAUCCAACUUCUAUCCCACUUCUGACACCAAGCUGAAAGGGUUAAUGUUGUAAUGGACUCUAAUCCCCUCGGUUCUCGAUCCCUCGGUCACCAUAAUCAACGUUGAUGGAGAAUCAUUUGUAAGCAAUAACACUCGGACAACA